rnacentral:rRNA from 1 species
AUUGAACGCUGGCGGCAUGCUUUACACAUGCAAGUCGAACGGUAACAGGCCGCAAGGUUCUUUCGAGUGGCGCACGGGUGAGUAAUGCAACGGAACGUGCCCCGUCGUGGGGGAUAACUACUCGAAAGAGUAGCUAAUACCGCAAACGAUCUAUGGAUGAAAGCGGGGGACUGUAUGGCCUCGCGCGAUUUGAGCGGCCGAUGUCAGAUUAGUUAGUUGGUGGGGUAAAGGCUCACCAAGGCAACGAUCUGUAGCUGGUCUGAGAGGACGACCAGCCACACUGGGACUGAGACACGGCCCAGACUCCUACGGGAGGCAGCAGUGGGGAAUUUUGGACAAUGGGCGCAAGCCUGAUCCAGCAAUGCCGCGUGCAGGAAGAAGGCCUUCGGGUUGUAAACUGCUUUUGUACGGAACGAAACGGCUCUGGUUAAUACCCGGAGCUAAUGACGGUACCGAAAGAAUAAGCACCGGCUAACUACGUG